CAGCCUCCUCCCGCACUGGCCCCCGUACCAGCAGUUUCUGGAACAGACAAAUCACAGGGACCAUUUGGUAGGCUGAUGAAAGAAGAAAAGCAGGAAAAAGACAAGCUAAUGGGCCUUUAGGACUAUGGAGGAAGACAGGGAGGAAAGGUGCCAGUGGCCACACCUCCUGCCCCACCCUCACCUCUGGUUUGUAGGCUUUCCGGAAUCUGGAGGGCCCAUCAGGGCUGAAGACCUGGCCAGGUACACAGCUGACCACCACCGGCUGCCCAUUCUCACAGGCUAAAAACAAAAAGGAAUGAGAGCAGGAGGGAUCCCUGUGGCUGGAGUGAGAAAGAUGACCUCACAGAAGAGUGGGCUUUGAACUGGGCCUUGACUGAUGUAGCUUUGAAGAGAUGGAAGGGAGGACCCACAUGUGUGUGCGUGCUGUCCACCUCCCGGGGCCCACAUACUUGUCCCUGCUUGGCAAGACUCAUCAAGACGUCAGAGAAAGCCAGGCAGUCACUUGUCAGCUGCCAAGUGCAGGUACUCUGGGCAGGCUGGUCUGGUUGGGUCUCCAGUCCUCUGCUCCGCCAGCUGAGCUACCCAAGGGCACCCUGGGCAGACUCCUGGAUGGGCUGGAAGUGGAGUCCUGUCCCUGCUGGCCCAGCUGCUCUGGAAAUAUCUGCCUUGUGAAUGAGUUACAAACAUAGAGGAAGGGCAAAUCCUCCAGAUGCCAUCAUCAUCUCUCCUUGAUCCAAAUUUAAGACUUGUGACAAUUAUAGUAUAUCUAUAGGUACAACACAGAAUUACUGAAAUAAA